CACGUAGGGGGCAAGCGUUAUCCGGAAUUACUGGGUGUAAAGGGAGCGUAGACGGUAAUGUAAGUCUGGAGUGAAAGGCGGGGGCCCAACCCCCGGACUGCUCUGGAAACUAUGUUACUAGAGUGCAGGAGAGGUAAGCGGAAUUCCUAGUGUAGCGGUGAAAUGCGUAGAUAUUAGGAGGAACACCAGUGGCGAAGGCGGCUUACUGGACUGUAACUGACGUUGGGGCUCGAAAGCGUGGGGAGCAAACAGG
rnacentral:rRNA from 1 species